rnacentral:lncRNA from 1 species
UAGGGCAUAAUGGGGAGGAGUUUGCCAGAUGAGGUACCUAGAGGUAGCUGGGGCAAGGAGUUUUCUUGGGAGCAGUGUAUCCUUCUAAAUAUCCGGGUGUCAGGGAGUGCUUCGGGUGGAGAAGGGUAGCUGAGAGCAGGUCUGGAAUGUGUUCAUUCAUGAGCAUUCCCAAAACUCAACAGAGCCUUUUCUGACUGAAUCUUUACCCAGCCAGAGACAGCAAAAAAGAAGAUGGUAUUCCUGUCCUCCCCCUGUGGCUCCCCACCCCUGCCCCAGCCGCUGUGAAUUUGGAGCUACCGAACAGCUGGUGCUGGCCAAGAGCCACAAACUUGUGAGCAUAAGUCCUGCCUCACAGAAUAGACACCCCUCCCCCUAAACACCCUAGUAUUGCUAGUCCCGUUUUUUUUUUUUUUUUCUGUCCCUGAUGUGGCAAAAGAAGAACAAGGUUUCAGAUCUGAAUUAUUUUUGCUGAAAUAGGACAGCAUGGACACCAGCCCUGGCAGCAAUUCCAUAGCAACCCAGGCCAGCCAAGGAUUGGAGAGUGGGGAAAAAAAAAAAAAAAGAACUUUUCAAAAACAAGGAAAAUAGACACCCCCCCCCCAAAGUUUGUAACUCGAUUUCAUUAUACUUAUUCCUGCUUCCUUCCUGGGUUCAAAUAUUCAUUUUACCAUAAACAGAAAUGGAAGGUUCUCUGGACCUGUUUGCAAACUAUGUACUGUAUCUUCAACCCUCCUUGUCGGCAAAGAUAUAUCGCUUCCUCUAAGAUUUAUAGCUGACUUCAGAAUAUAAAUUUCUUAUAACUUCUUAUCCUUAGGACAGGUGUUCCCCUGAAAAGAGGGGGAAAAUAGAAUAGACAGGAAAUAGACAGGAGGAAAAGAUAAUGAGGAUCAAGGGAAAAACUUUUUAAAAAUGGAGAAAGGCUGAGGGGCUGUGUUCCUUGCCUGUCCCCAUAGGUCCUGGCUUGCUCUUCAGGUCUUCAACUCCAUACACACUGCCUUUCUAGGGCAGGUCACCCCCAUGUUUUUUUUUUUUUAAUUAUUAUUUUUUUUAUGAGUAAGCACCUCCAGAGACAAAAAUAGCAGGGAAUAGAUGUGUCCCCAAAGGAGCUCAGCAGGGGCUUCAGCUCCUGGUGGGUCUCUUCUCCCUUUAACAAAACUCCCAGGGAGUGCCCCUACCCUCGUCACUCCAGGGAUUGCCUCAGAAUCCUAAAUCCUGGGGCAUCUUCCCC